GUGCUGUACCUGCCCCAGGUGUGCUGUACCUGCCCCAGGUGUGCUGUACCUGUACCCAGGUGCCCCCAGGUGCCCCAUACCUGUUUGUAGAGCCAGAGCAGGGCGCACACCAGGCUGAUGUCAGCCAGGCUCACCCUGUGUGACCCCCCAGGUGUGCUGUACCUGCCCCAGGUGCCCCGUACCUGUUUGUAGAGCCAGAGCAGGGCGCACACCAGGCUGAUGUCAGCCAGGCUCACCCUGUGUGAUUCCCCAGGUGUGCUGUACCUGUCCC